GACGAACGCUGGCGGCGUGCUUAACACAUGCAAGUCGAACGGAAAGGCCCUGCUUGCAGGGUACUCGAGUGGCGAACGGGUGAGUAACACGUGGGUGAUCUGCCCUGCACUUCGGGAUAAGCCUGGGAAACUGGGUCUAAUACCGGAUAGGAGCCAUUUUUAGUGUGAUGGUUGGAAAGUUUUUUCGGUGUAGGAUGAGCUCGCGGCCUAUCAGCUUGUUGGUGGGGUAAUGGCCUACCAAGGCGGCGACGGGUAGCCGGCCUGAGAGGGUGGACGGCCACAUUGGGACUGAGCUACGGCCCAGACUCCUACGGGAGGCAGCAGUGGGGAAUAUUGCACAAUGGGCGCAAGCCUGAUGCAGCGACGCCGCGUGGGGGAUGACGGCCUUCGGGUUGUAAACUCCUUUCGCUAGGGACGAAGCUUUUUGUGACGGUACCUAGAUAAGAAGCACCGGCUAACUACGU
rnacentral:rRNA from 1 species